GACGAACGCUGGCGGCGUGCCUAAUACAUGCAAGUCGAACGCAGUGGGGACGGGUGAGUAACACGUGGGUAACCUCCCAUCAGAGGGGAUAACACUUGGAAACAGGUGCUAAACCGAUACUGAUGGAUGGACCCGCGGUGCAUUAGCUCGUGGGUGAGGUAACGGCUCACCAAGGCCACGAUGCAUAGCCGCCCGUGGAGUGGUAUCGGCCACACGGGGACUGGGACACGGCCCAGACUCCUACGGGAGGCAGCAGUAGGGAAUCUUCGGCAAUUGACGAAAGUCUGACCGAGCAACGCCGCGUGAGUGAAGAAGGUUUUCGGAUCGUAAAACUCUGUUGUUAGAGAAGCGGUAUCUAACCAGAAAGCCACGGCUAACUACGUGCCAGCAGCCGCGGUAAUUC
rnacentral:rRNA from 1 species